GAAGCUGAGGGUCUGAGUGACAAGCGGAGUGUGGCUGGAUCCAGCCUUAUUUUGAAGGAUUCCUUUGGCACCCAGGGGCCCAGGGAUGAGGUGCUGUUUUGGGAGGCUGGUAAAAGUUCAGAAGCGAUCUCUGAGACUCCCUAUCUGCCAGAUUCCCAGACUGUGAGCUGCUUCAAGAUCAGGGAAGUUUUUCGGUACUUCGUACUGGAUUUCGAGGCUGGCAUCCUGCAGUAUUUUGUGAAUGAGCAAAGCAAACACCAGAAGCCUCGAGGAGUCCUGUCUUUAUCUGGAGCCAUAGUGUCCCUGAGCGAUGAAGCUCCCCACAUGCUGGUGGUGUACUCUGCUAAUGGAGAGAUGUUUAAACUGAGAGCUGCUGAUGCAAAAGAGAAACAAUUCUGGGUGACUCAGCUUCGAGCUUGUGCCAAAUACCACAUGGAAAUGAAUUCUAAGAGUGCUCCAAGCUCCCGAAGCCGAAGUCUCACUUUGCUCCCACAUGGAACACCCAAUUCUGCGUCUCCCUGUAGCCAGAGACACCUCAGUGUGGGGGCCCCCGGUGUUGUCACAAUCACGCAUCACAAGUCGCCUGCAGCCGCCCGAAGAGCCAAGAGUCAGUAUUCCGGCCAGCUUCACGAAGUCAGAGAGGUACACACUCUCCUGACAGAGGAAAGCUGUUUGCUGCACUGGUUUACUGGAUAGAUUAACUGGGUUGAGGCUGUGUAAUUUAAUAUGAUUUUAAAUAAACCUUUUACAGAGUCUGA
rnacentral:lncRNA from 1 species